GCACUGCUGAGGAGUCCCAUAGUGGGACGAAACGGUCGUCCAGUGC
rfam:Schistosoma rodhaini strain Burundi genome assembly, scaffold: SROB_scaffold0008377